rnacentral:rRNA from 1 species
UACGUAGGGUGCGAGCGUUGUCCGGAAUUAUUGGGCGUAAAGGGCUCGUAGGCGGUUUGUCGCGUCGGGAGUGAAAACUCAGGGCUUAACCCUGAGCCUGCUUCCGAUACGGGCAGACUAGAGGUAUGCAGGGGAGAAUGGAAUUCCUGGUGUAGCGGUGAAAUGCGCAGAUAUCAGGAGGAGCACCGGUGGCGAAGGCGGUUCUCUGGGCAUUACCUGACGCUGAGGAGCGAAAGUGUGGGGAGCGAACAGG